rnacentral:rRNA from 1 species
CCUACGGGAGGCUGCAGUGGGGAAUAUUGGGCAAUGGGCGCAAGCCUGACCCAGCAAUGCCGCGUGAAGGAAGAAGGCUUUCGGGUUGUAAACUUCUUUGACAGGGGAGGAGCAGAAGACGGUACCCUGAAAACCAGCCACGGCUAACUACGUGCCAGCAGCCGCGGUAAUACGUAGGUGGCAAGCGUUGUCCGGAUUUACUGGGUGUAAAGGGCGUGUAGCCGGGAAGGCAAGUCAGAUGUGAAAUCUGGAGGCUCAACCUCCAAAUUGCAUUUGUAACUGGUUUUCUUGAGUACUGGAGAGGGAGAGGGAAUUCCUGGUGUAGCGGUGAAAUGCGUAGAGAUAAGGAGGAAUACCAGUGGCGAAGGCGGUCUGCUGGACAGAAACUGACGGUGAGGCGCGAAAGCGUGGGGAGCAAACAGGAUUAGAUACCCUAGUAGUC